rnacentral:lncRNA from 1 species
GGAACUGAUGCUCACUGCUAAAGCUGAUCUCACGCUGUCACUUCCCUACGACCCAUCUCAGGAUGAAGAAUCAGCUCCUAUCUAAGACAUCUCUGAUCUCCAAGAGAGGGAAAAAAAUAAAUGGAGAAGCAACAUAAUUUUUCAUAAAUCUUCUGUUCAGAAGUGGCACAUAUCACUUCUAGUCGUAUUCAAUUGGCCAAAGCAAGUCACAUGGCCAAAUGUGGCUUCAAUGAGUAAAGCAUGUGGCAAGAGGAAAGGCCUGGAACAGUAGAGAGAAAGAAAAUAGGCUUUCAAGUUAGAAGACUUGAAUUUGAGUACUAGAUGCCCAAAUUACCAGUGCCCUGUAGAGAACCUAAACAAAUUAGGAGACCAACAAUGGCUGAUCUGUGAUCUUCUGAUAUUUCCUUAACGUAUGGAUAAACAAGCUUGAAGAAAAUAAUUGAAUGUGAAGACCUGAAAUCAUUGUCAGUACAUCUUCUAACGAGCUAUUACCAUAGUAAGCUGCUUUCGCAAUGAGACCACCUGCUCCAGGCAGACAGAUGGAGGCCCUAUGGGGGUCAUGGCUCCCCUUGUAAAGAAAGCUGGAGUCACAUACGUGCGCGAUUUUGGUAGAAAAAAAAAAGACUGAGGCAUUGACACUUCACAGAAGAUAGCUGUGACUUUGUUAAAGAAAUGUCAGCACUCUUGACUUCCUGACUUCCUCUCUUCCCUGUCGUUUUCGGGUUGGGCAGCCGCAUCCUUCCUUAAGUGCAUUUCACUAAGAAGAAUAGGAUGAGAAAUUAGCAUUCUCAGAGGCUCCGGCAAUCAUGCAGAUGGAAUAAGCUGAAAACGUUGUGUAACGAAAAUAAAACACAGAGCAGUUCUUCUAUUUGGAUCCAUACUCUCCUAAUAGCAAUCAUACAGUAGUGUUAGAUUCUGGAUUGAAGAUAGCGCUGAAGAGGGGGAAAAAGUGACGUUGAGAAAGAGGUUAGAUGGGAAACAAUGGGGCACACUGACUAGGAAUUCUAUUUUUAGGACAGUGUAUGUGUGAGCUAUACUAUGAGGAUAUUCUUGGGGAGACAUAAGGAAAAAAAUUCAUAAUUUUAGUUGAUUAAAAAUAUGCUCUGUCUUCUAGUACACAAAUUAACAAAAUUCACAAUAAAAU